rnacentral:snRNA from 1 species
UGACCUUUUUAUAACAUUCACUCAAAUAAAGUAUUUUAAAUCUGUUCUUAUCAGUUUAAUAUCUGAUACGUCCUCUAUCUGAGGACUAUAAAUUAAAUGGAUUUUGGGAAUAGGGAGAUGGAAUAGGAGCUUUUGCUGUUACAGCCUGACCUGAUCCUAUGUCAUACACUCCCCUACAUUUAAUUUCCUCCCAUU